rnacentral:rRNA from 1 species
UAAAGUUAUUAAGGGCGUACGGGGAAUGCCUAGGCACAUGGAGCCGAUGAAGGACGUGGCAAGCUGCGAUAAACCUCGGGGAGGAGCAAACAUCCUUAGAUCCGGGGGUUUCCGAAUGGGGCAACCCAAAUCGAGUCAUGUCGAUUAACUCCUGUCUGAAUAUAUAAGACAGGUUGAGACAACGAGGUGAACUGACACAUCUAAGUAACCUCAGGAAGAGAAACCAAAAGGGAUUCCCUCAGUAGCGGCGAGCGAACGGGGAAGAGCCUAAACCAUCAACGUGCCAAGCUUACAGGCGUUGCGCUGGUGGGGUUGUGGGAUCGAUUCGGAGUCUGCUGUAACAGACUCGGCAAGUCAAAAAAUCUGAUAUUAGUUGAAUGGUCUGGAAAGUCCAACCGUAGAAGGUGAUAGUCCUGUAAACGAAAAUUGAUGAUCUUGCUGGAAUCGACACCCGAGUAACACGGGACACGAGAAAUCUUGUGUGAAUCUGCCGGGACCAUCCGGUAAGGCUAAAUACUCCCAUGUGACCGAUAGUGAACUAGUACCGUGAGGGAAAGGUGAAAAGUACUCCUAACGGAGAGUGAAAUAGAACCUGAAACCGUAUGCCUACAAGCAGUCAGAGCUCCAGUUAUCUUCGGAUAGCGGAGUGAUGGCGUGCCUUUUGCAUAAUGAGCCAGUGAGUUACUCGUAUAUUGCAAGGUUAAGACUGUAAGGUCGGAGCCGUAGCGAAAGCAAGUCUGAAUAGGGCGUUGAGUAAUAUGCGGUAGACCCGAAACCGAGUGAUCUAGCCAUGGCCAGGAUGAAGUCCCGGUAACACGGGAUGGAGGUCCGAACCCACCAGCGUUGAAAAGCUGGGGGAUGAGCUGUGGUUAGGGGUGAAAGGCCAAUCAAACUCGGAGAUAUCUGGUUCUCGCCGAAAUGCCUUUAGGGGCAGCGUCAUGUAAGUGUACCGGGGGUAGAGCACUGAAUGGGUUAGGGGGCCUACAAGCUUACCGACCCCAAUCAAACUCCGAAUACCGGUAUUAUAAUGCAUGGCAGUGAGCUCAUGGGGGAUAAGCUUCAUGAACAAAAGGGAAAGAACCCAGACCAUCAGCUAAGGUCCCAAAGUCGAUGCUAAGUGAUAAAGGAUGUCAAAUCGCCCAGACAGCUAGGAGGUUGGCUUAGAAGCAGCCAUCCUUUAAAGAAAGCGUAAUAGCUCACUAGUCGAGGGGUUUUGCGCCGAUAAUUUCCGGGACUAAGCAUCGCACCGAAGCUAUGGAUCUCGAUAUUUAUAUAUCGAGGUGGUAGGCGAGCGUUCCAUCGACCGUCGAAGGUUGACCCGUGAGGGCAGCUGGAGGAAAUGGAAAUGAGUAUGCUGGCAUGAGUAGCGAUAAAGCCUGUGAAAUGCAGGCUCGCCGCAAGCCCAAGGUUUCCUGAGUAAAGUUAAUCUGCUCAGGGUUAGUCGGACCCUAAGCCGAGGCCGAAAGGCGUAGGCGAUGGAAAACAGGUUUAAUAUUCCUGUACCAGUGCAACAUUGUUUGAACUAUGGGGGGACGCAGAAGUGAAAGGUCAGCCCGGUUUUGAUAGUCCGGGUUUAAGUGCGUAGGGAGUUCUGGUAGGUAAAUCCGCCGGGACAUUAAUCCUGAGACACGAAUAGGAGAGCUUAGCUCAUAAACUGACCCUAAUCAUGCUGCCAAGAAAAUCCUCUAUGUUAGAUGCUGCGCUGACCGUACCGUAAACGGACACACGUGGGCGAGGAGAGUAUCCUCAGGCGCUUGUGAGAAUCCAGGUUAAGGAACUCGGCAAAUUAGCCCCGUAACUUCGGGAGAAGGGGUGCCCUUAUUAGGUGAAGAACUUCGCGUUUGGAGCUGAACAGGGCCGCAGUGACCAGGCUCAAUCGACUGUUUACUAAAAACACAGGUCUCUGCUAAGUCGCAAGACGAAAUAUAGGGACUGACACCUGCCCGGUGCUGGAAGGUUAAAUGGAGAGGUUAGCACUUCGGUGCGAAGCUUUGAAAUGAAGCCCCAGUAAACGGCGGCCGUAACUAUAACGGUCCUAAGGUAGCGAAAUUCCUUGUCGGGUAAGUUCCGACCUGCACGAAUGGUGUAACGAAUUGAGCACUGUCUCAACCUGGAGCACAGCGAAAUUGAAGUGUCGGUGAAGAUACCGGCUACCCGCGGCAGGACGAAAAGACCCCGUGAACCUUUACUAUAACUUAGCAUUGGAUUUUGGUUAUGCAUGUGCAGGAUAGGUGGGAGGCUAUGAAACUUGGACGCUAGUCCGGGUGGAGCCAUCCUUGAAAUACCACCCUUGUAUUGCUAGAACUCUAAUCCCGACCCGUGAAUCCGGGCGAGAGACAGUGUUAGGUGGGUAGUUUGACUGGGGCGGUCUCCUCCCAAAAGGUAACGGAGGAGCUCAAAGGUUCCCUCAGCACGGUCGGUAAUCGUGCGAAGAGUGCAAAGGCAUAAGGGAGCUUAACUGCGAGGUCGACGGACCGAGCAGGUGCGAAAGCAGGACUUAGUGAUCUGGUGGUUCCGUAUGGAAGGGCCAUCACUCAACGGAUAAAAGGUACUCCGGGGAUAACAGGCUUAUCUCCCCCAAGAGUUCACAUCGACGGGGAGGUUUGGCACCUCGAUGUCGGCUCAUCACAUCCUGGAGCUGGAGAAGGUUCCAAGGGUUGGGCUGUUCGCCCAUUAAAGUGGUACGUGAGCUGGGUUUAGAACGUCGUGAGACAGUUCGGUCUCUAUCCGCCGUGGGCGCAAGAUAUUUGAGGGAAUCUGCUUCUAGUACGAGAGGACCGAAGUGGACGAACCUCUGGUGUACCAGUUGUUCCAUCAGGAGCACGGCUGGGUAGCUAUGUUCGGACCGGAUAAGCGCUGAAAGCAUAUAAGCGCGAAACCGAUCCCAAGAUUAGAUAUCUCUAACAUAAGUUAAUAAGGCUCGUUGUAGACUACGACGUUGAUAGGCUGCAGGUGUAAGUGUAGUAAUACAUUCAGCCGAGCAGUACUAAUAAGCCGAACGGCUUUACCAA